UGAGCUCCAGUAGAGCAGAUUGGUCUGUCCAAAUUGUGCCGCUCUGAUGCGAGGGACGGACCGAUGAAAUGAAGAGGAGGAUAACAACUUUGGCCAAGACAACAGUGUGGCAAUUCAUUGGGGGCAAGUUUAUGUUAUUACUAGGGCGGUUACUCCCUGCAAUCUUCUUAAGCAAUGAUGCCAUGUAGCACACUGAUCAACAGUGACACAGGUGGAGGAGGAUGAAGGGUGCUGGUUAAUGGAUGUCCAAGUCACUAUGAUUGCAAUCUAUAGUGAUGCAUACUUCCACUACAUUUGGCUGUUCGAGGAUUGUCUCCCACAAUACUGUAAAACAUGAGGUUGGACAAGGAAGCUUCCAUGUUUAAUUAUCCAUCAUCAUGGUGAUGAAAGGUGUAGACGCAAAGAUGAUAGAGAGUGAGGAUAGGUGAUGGCACAUUCAUGCUGACCAGUUCUUCCUAGCUAGUGGCCUCUUCUUGGUGCUCUUCUUUGGUGGCCUGUGGAUCGAGAGGAAGAUAAUGCGUUAGGCAAUUCUUGUCAAUUAAUCGGAUCACAAUGGCCAACUCGGAUCAGUGUUUAUAUGCGGCCCAGAUUCUACGAAUACACACUCCGUUUAUACGGGACACGUGGUGGCCAUCCAACCCAUGUCACGAUCGGACGGCCAACAAAAUGAAUUCUUGUCCUUGGUAUGGUUUCAGGGUGUAGUUUCGCUAGACAAUUGCAUAAAUUCCUUGAAGAUUGUUGCUGGUUGGGAGAUCUAUGAGCCGAAGCAACGUAAUCAAUUGGGGAACCCUAAAACUUGUGUACGGUUGCUUUGCUUUGUUGCGACUCAUCAAAAUCUGGCCUUGGCUUCAGGUGUCGUCGUUGGAGCCGACUGGAUGUAGCCAUGUAGGUGAUCAGGAGAAGACUAGUUCGGUUUCUUAUUUUGAAGAUGCAAGUGAUUUCUCACUCGAACGUAGCAUUCGAAUGGAGAAAUGAGGGAGU